rnacentral:rRNA from 1 species
GAUGAACGCUGGCGGCGUGCCUAAUACAUGCAAGUCGAGCGAACAGACGAGGAGCUUGCUCCUCUGACGUUAGCGGCGGACGGGUGAGUAACACGUGGAUAACCUACCUAUAAGACUGGGAUAACUUCGGGAAACCGGAGCUAAUACCGGAUAAUAUAUUGAACCGCAUGGUUCAAUAGUGAAAGACGGUUUUGCUGCCACUUAUAGAUGGAUCCGCGCCGCAUUAGCUAGUUGGUAAGGUAACGGCUUACCAAGGCAACGAUGCGUAGCCGACCUGAGAGGGUGAUCGGCCACACUGGAACUGAGACACGGUCCAGACUCCUACGGGAGGCAGCAGUAGGGAAUCUUCCGCAAUGGGCGAAAGCCUGACGGAGCAACGCCGCGUGAGUGAUGAAGGUCUUCGGAUCGUAAAACUCUGUUAUUAGGGAAGAACAAAUGUGUAAGUAACUAUGCACGUCUUGACGGCACCUAAUCAGAAAGCCACGGCUAACUACGUG